UACGUAGGGGGCGAGCGUUGUCCGGAAUUACUGGGCGUAAAGCGCGCGUAGGUGGUUCGACAAGUUCGGCGUGAAGUCUCCAGGCUCAACUUGGAGGGGUCGUCGAAGACUGUCGGACUAGGGUCUGGCAGAGGCAGGUAGAAUUCCCGGUGGAGCGGUGAAAUGCGUAGAGAUCGGGAGGAAUACCAGUGGCGAAGGCGGCCUGCUGGGCCACGACCGACACUGAGGUGCGAAAGCGUGGGGAGCGAACCGG
rnacentral:rRNA from 1 species